rnacentral:rRNA from 1 species
GACGAACGCUGGCGGCGUGCUUAACACAUGCAAGUCGAACGGAAAGGCCCUGCUUUUGUGGGGUGCUCGAGUGGCGAACGGGUGAGUAACACGUGAGUAUCCUGCCCUUGUCUUUGGGAUAACUUCAGGAAACUGGGGCUAAUACCGGAUAGGAGCUCCUGCUGCAUGGUGGGGGUUGGAAAGUUUCGGCGGUUGGGGAUGGAAUCGCGGCUUAUCAGCUUGUUGGUGGGGUAGUGGCUUGCCAAGGCUUCGACGGGUAGCCCGCCUGAGCGGGUGACCGGCCACAUUGGGACCGAGAUACGGCCCAGACUCCUACGGGAGGCAGCAGGGGGGAAGAUUGCACAAGGGGCGGAAGCCGGAUGCAGCAACGCCGCGUGCGGGAUGACGGCCUUCGGGUUGUAAACCGCUUGCGCCUGUGACGAAGCGUGAGUGACGGUAAUGGGUAAAGAAGCACCGGCUAACUACGGG